AAAUGGAUUUAUCAGAAUUGGUCGUGGUGUGACUUCUUGGUGACUAAAAGCAAACUCAAAAAAAAAAAAAACCCAAAAAAACAGUUACCAAAGAGCCCAUGCUUUUAAAGAGAAAAUGUGUUCUGGGAAAAUUUGAACAUUUCUAAGAAUUAGGGAAAUGACAAAAUCAGAGACUUUUCCACCAAAUGCAUCUUAUUUUUCUGUGGAAGUAUCUUCAGCCAGCACAUCUUCGGUGGAACAUCUCUCCUGUUUGCUCCCUACUCCACAAGUCCAGACUCCGCAGCACUGGCUUAGCUGAUGCCCAUGCAUUUUGUCCAUGCUUAUUUUAUGUUACUCUUGUCACUUUCAGAUAUGUGUUGCCUGCAAGGCAAUUAGACAAAAAUGUCUUACUAGGAGCCAAGCACUACAUUUAUGAUGCUGUAUCUCACACUGCAGAAAAUGAAUGGAGAAGGACUAUACCAAAACACAUCAUGGUAUGGUACGCAACACAUAGAGGGAGAACUGCUUCCACUGCAACCAUGUUAAGAAGAGGGCAGCUUCAUUAAAUAUCCAAGUAGAUGAACAAAUAUAUUUGAAAGCUGUCUCUUGCGUAACGUGAAUUUAAGUUAAUGCAAUUUUUUUUUUUUUUUUUUUGCCAAUUACUUGGCACAGUGUCUCUUGUAGGACUUCUUUGAAUCAAAAUGGCUUGUAUGCCCAAUAACAGCAGCUGGAAAUUGCAGCAAUGGGGAUCUCCAUCAAUAACAUUGCAAUGGAUCUCAAAGCUCUGCUACAUCAGCUGGAAAGCUGUGCAAGAUCUGUAGUAUGCACCAAACAUGAGGAAACUUCUGCUUUUCCACCUGAACUGUGCAGAGAGUGCUGAAGCCAAGAGGCAUUACCUCCUCUCCCUUGACUUUCCUCACUAGCUCAGCUGUAGUGGGGCUGGCAGAACAUUCCCAAAGCACCUGCUGAUGCUCAUGGCUGAUUUCCUACAGCCAAAAACUACAGAUGAGUUGGUACUCAUCUGGGAGAUGAAAAGGGAAAGAACCAGUUUCAGCAAACAAGGACAAG